GAAAUGCGAUACGUCAUGCGAAUUGCAGAUAUUUGUGAGUCAUCAAAACUUUGAACGCAACUUGCACUUCCGUCAGGGAGUAUGUCUGUUGGAGUGUCUGUUCAUCCCCACUCUCGCGCCCAUUCCCCGUCACACGGGUCUGUUCUCCCGCGAGCAGUGCCGGCCGCUUGUCGCACGUCCUCUUCUGGGCGACGGACAAGCGAGCCCAGAUGACAACACCCAUCAACGAACUUCGCCCCCGCUCUUGCUCGAGAGCGCGGUCGACGCGACGUGAUCUUCCCUCAACGGGAGAGAACUACCAGCGCGUCCGGCCCGCUCCCGGGUACUCCAAAGAGAGCCUCGGCACCACAAGAAGUUCUUCCGAUCGGACCUCCAAUCAGGCAAGAAUACCCGCUGAAUU
rnacentral:misc_RNA from 1 species